UUCCUCAUCCUUGCCAAAGGAUUUGUAUGUGGAAUUUGUAUUGCUUCAGGGCUACUAAAAAUUUCAUUGAUAAUAGGAAGAUUAAUUGGCACAGUAGAUCCCAGAGGUAUUAGAUUGUUUAAAUUAUGGGAAAGUUGCAAAGUCAGGCCUCCUUGGCAUGGCAUCCACAAAGCACAUUCUGCCAGGUCUAAGGUCCUACCUAGCUCCACAAGAGUAGUCUUCAAGAUUGUGUGUCUGUCGAGUGUGCUUCUUAUCUCAUGAGUCAGCAUCCUGACAUGUCUGCCAGUUUCUUCUUGUCUUAUUAUUAGGCCCAUUUCCUUGUCAAGCUCUUCAGCUCGAGUUUUCAAGAACAACUCUCGCGUUUUAACACUUAGCAAAUCAGGAAUAAUGUGAACAAGCAUCAAAGCUGUGAUACAGGACACGGCAGCUGUCAACAUUUUUGAUAUGGUCAUAACCACAGCGACCGUCUUAGAGUGCAUAAAGAAGGUCCACAAGCUAAUAAAGUGUGUUGCUCCACAGAGCACAAUA
rnacentral:lncRNA from 1 species